CUACGGGGUGCUCCAGUGAGGAAUAUUGCACAAUGGGGGGAACCCUGAUGCAGCAACGCCGCGUGGAGGAUGACGCAUUUCGGUGUGUAAACUCCUUUUAUAUGUCAAGAAAAUGACGGUAGCAUAUGAAUAAGCACCGGCUAACUCCGUGCCAGCAGCCGCGGUAAUACGGGGGGUGCAAGCGUUACUCGGAAUCACUGGGCGUAAAGGACGCGUAGGCGGGUUGGAAAGUCAGGUGUGAAAUCCUACAGCUUAACUGUAGAACUGCACUUGAAACUUCUAAUCUAGAGUAUGGGAGGGGGAGGUGGAAUUAGUGGUGUAGGGGUAAAAUCCGUAGAUAUCACUAGGAAUACCUAAGGCGAAGGCGAUCUCCUGGAACAUUACUGACGCUAAGGCGUGAAAGCGUGGGGAGCAAACAGGAUUAGAUACCCCCGUAGUC
rnacentral:rRNA from 1 species